AGAGAUCUGCAGUUUUAUCCUUAAUUUUUGUAAGAUCUCCAAUGAAGUGCUUGGAUAUUGAGUAGAUUAGAGUAGCCACUGCAUCCUCAAUAUCUUGGCCAUCUUCGUCCUUAACCACUUCAUUACUCUCAUUAAUCCUAUAGGCUUUAAGGAUACUAUUUCUAUCAUCAAAAGUGAGAUAAUUAUCCCACCAACCCUUAAGCUGACCUGUAAACCCAGCAACAAUGGUCUGAGCUACAGCAUGA
rnacentral:lncRNA from 1 species